rnacentral:rRNA from 1 species
UACGGAGGGGGCUAGCGUUGUUCGGAAUUACUGGGCGUAAAGCGCGCGUAGGCGGACCUGCAAGUCGGGGGUGAAAGCCAGAGGCUCAACCUCGGAACUGCCUUCGAUACUGCGGGUCUCGAGUCCGGGAGAGGUGAGUGGAAUUCCUAGUGUAGAGGUGAAAUUCGUAGAUAUUAGGAAGAACACCAGUGGCGAAGGCGGCUCACUGGCCCGGUACUGACGCUGAGGCGCGAAAGCGUGGGGAGCAAACAGG